UACAGAGGUCUCAAGCGUUGUUCGGAUUCAUUGGGCGUAAAGGGUGCGUAGGCGGGCUUGUAAGUCAGUGGUGAAAGCCCGGGGCUUAACUCCGGAACUGCCGUUGAUACUGCAAGUCUUGAGUACACUUGAGGUGGGCGGAAUACAUCAUGUAGUGGUGAAAUACUUAGAUAUGAUGUAGAACACCGAUUGCGAAGGCAGCUCACUAAAUUGUAACUGACGCUGAGGCACGAAAGCGUGGGGAUCAAACAGG
rnacentral:rRNA from 1 species